rnacentral:tRNA from 2 species
AACUAAUGAACUUGUAAAAGUAUAUAUUUUGAAAAUAUAAAAAAGAAAUUUAAAUUUUCUAUUAGUUU